AUUGAACGCUGGCGGCAUGCUUUACACAUGCAAGUCGAACGGUAACAGGCCGCAAGGUGCUGACGAGUGGCGAACGGGUGAGUAAUGCAUCGGAACGUGCCCAGUCGUGGGGGAUAACGCAGCGAAAGCUGCGCUAAUACCGCAUACGAUCUCUGGAUGAAAGCGGGGGACCGAAAGGCCUCGCGCGAUUGGAGCGGCCGAUGUCAGAUUAGGUAGGUGGUGGGGUAAAGGCCCACCAAGCCAACGAUCUGUAGCUGGUCUGAGAGGACGACCAGCGACACUGGCACUGAGACACGGCCAGGACUCCUAGGGGAGGCAGCAGUGGGGAAUUUUGGACAAUGGGCGCAAGCCUGAUCCAGCAAGGCCGCGUGCAGGAAGAAGGCCUUCGGGUUGUAAACUGCUUUUGUACGGAACGAAACGGUCCGGGUUAAUACCCUGGGCUAAUGACGGUACCGUAAGAAGAAGCACCGGCUAACUACGUGCCAGCAGCCGCCGUAACAC
rnacentral:rRNA from 1 species